GAACCUGUCUCGAGGUGGGGGACAACAGUUGGAAACGACUGCUAAUACCCCAUAUGCCGAGAGGUGAAAGAUUUAUCGCCUUGAGGGGGGCUCGCGUCCGAUUAGCUAGUUGGUGGGGUAAUGGCCUACCAAGGCGACGAUCGGUAGCUGGUUUGAGAGGACGACCAGCCACACUGGGACUGAGACACGGCCCAGACUCCUACGGGAGGCAGCAGUGGGGAAUUUUCCGCAAUGGGCGCAAGCCUGACGGAGCAACGCCGCGUGUGGGAUGAAGGCCUGUGGGUUGUAAACCACUUUUCUCAGGGACGAAGCUCUGACGGUACCUGAGGAAUCAGCCUCGGCUAACUCUGUGCCAGCAGCCGCGGUAAGACAGAGGAGGCAAGCGUUAUCCGGAAUUAUUGGGCGUAAAGGGUCCGCAGGCGGCUUGACAAGUCUGGGGUGAAAUCCCGGAGCUCAACUCCGAAUCUGCCUUGGAUACUGCCCGGCUGGAGGAGUGGAGAGGAUACUGGAAUUCUCGGUGUAGCAGUGAAAUGCGUAGAGAUCGAGAGGAACACCAGUGGCGAAAGCGGGUCUCUGGACACUUCCUGACGCUGAGGGACGAAGGCCAGGGGAGCA
rnacentral:rRNA from 1 species